rnacentral:tRNA from 1 species
AAAGCUUUAAGUUAUCUUAAACUUGCAGCCUUCAAAGCUGCCAAAAGGAGUACAAUCUCUUAAGCUUUA